GAAAAUCAGAUAAUGAAUAAAGCCAAUCAUAACAACUAUUCUAAGCUCAAAUUCUUGAACCCUGAACCAAAUUUCUGGGUUUGGAACACCAGCAGAGUCGUCAGGGCUGUCACACCUCCUUUUUUACUACACCACCCCGAAAGGGUAGUGUAUAAAGGGAGUUUUUCCAAUUAAAGUGACAUUAUUCGAAAUUGGAUUAUUUAUUCAAUUUUGUUCAGAAACACCACUUAGAAUGAUUUGUUUUCUGGUGUCCCAAGUCACCGAUUUAUUUUAAAAUCCCAAA
rnacentral:lncRNA from 1 species